rnacentral:misc_RNA from 1 species
GUCCGUUACCAGAAGAUCGUCUGUGUGAGAGAAUCCUCAGUUACAACUUUGAUGAUGAACGCCCUGAUUGUUCUUGGUUUGGCUGCUCUAGCCGGAUUUGUGUCUGCCACUGCUAGAAAUGAAGCCAAUGUGAACAUUUAUCUUCACCUUUCUGAUGAUGAAGAUUCCAACUACGAAAACUCCAUGCAUUAUGCUCAAUGCGAGAUGGAACCAAACCACUUCAUGCCAGGCAACCUCCACCAUAGGGUCCAUGGAAGCAUCGAGAUGCAUCAACGGGGAGACGGACCUUUGGAAAUGAGCUUCUGUCUGUCCGGAUUCAACGUCAGUGAAGACUUUGCUCAUCACAACCACGGACUUCAGAUCCACGAGUACGGAGAUAUGGAACAUGGCUGUGACACCAUUGGAGAACUGUACCACAAUGAGCACGCCCCCAACCACGAGUAAGUCGGUUUCAAAUUUGUGAUUUCAUCUCAAGAUGAGAACUAUUUCAUCAGUUUAGAAACAAAACUCAUAAUGUAUAAUUUGUAAAUAAUACAUAUACUGUAAAAAAAAACAAAACAAGAAAUUAAAAAGAAAUCCCGAUAUUUUUUUUCAAAAGGCCUGAAAACUGUUUGAAAAAUUAAAAAAAAGAAUAUGUUGUGUUUUAAUGUUUACAAAACAAGAUAUGUUUCAUUUAUAUUUAAAAAGUGCACAGUAAACUUUUGUUAUCCAAAAUUGUGUAUCAAAGUGAGCAGAUAACAAUGACAUAUUUUUUGACAUGAAAUAAUUUUUAAUUUUAUUCAACUCAUCCAUUUUUUCUUGAGUACCAAAUGCCAAUACUCAGGCUUUAGAUAGAUGCAAAUCAUCGAAAUCAGUAUUGCCAAACUGAGUUAAUGAACCAGUAAUAAUAUUUCUACAUUUAAAAUUAAAAGCUUGCAGAAACACCUAGAUUUUCUAUAUUAAUUAUGUGGUUAAAAAAAAUAACUGUAACAAAUGUUUCAUGUAAAAAUGGAUGAUGAUCUUUUUCUGAAGAAAGAAGAUGUAUAUUUGUAAGUUAUUUCUGUUUUUAUAUUAUCAGUAACCCCGGUGACCUCGGAGAUCUCCAUGACGACGACCACGGAAAUGUGAAUGCCACCAGGACUUUCGAUUGGCUCACCAUCGGACAUACAGACGGAAUUCUUGGCCGAUCAUUGGCUAUUCUCCAGGGAGACCACACCUCUCACACCGCUGUCAUCGCUUGCUGCGUCAUUGGUCGCUCUCAUGCCCACUAGAUGAUCAUAACGGACCAUUCUGAAUAAAAGAUUAUCAUUUAUAUCGAACUUCAGUAGGAAUAAAAAUUUACAAAAAAAUUC